AAAAAUAAAAAUGAGGGAGGAAAAAUAAAAAUGAGGGAGGAAAAAUCAAAAAAUGAGGCAGGAAAAAUAAAAAUGAAUGUGGACAGGAUGGUGGAAAAGGGAGAAGAGCAGCUCCUCACCAAUUUCUUUUUCAUUUUAGGGGUUUUUAGAGUAGGUUCUGCUUUAGUUCUGUACCGUGGUGAUUUAAAAAAUAGCAAAAAACAAAAAAAAACAAAGAUAAAAAUGCAGCAUUACAGAAAGAAUUUAUUCUUAGGGUCCUGUUGCUGGAGUGGCUUUGGUUUUGUGGGAUGUUUGGGGAUUUUUUUGUGGCUUGGGUUGUGUGGAAAUUCAAAAGGAUUUUGGUGGAAUGGAAGAGUUGGGUUGGAGAUAACGGAGAACCCAGAAUUUUGGAGGUGGGAAUAAACCCCUGAUGUUGGUCACACAUGGAACACAAAAAUAUUAAAAAAAAAAUAGGAUUUAGGGAAAUCUGGAAGCUGAACUCGUGUUUUCCUUCUGGAAAUUUCUUUGGUUUUUUUGGUUUAUUUUUUUUUCCAUUUGGAGUGGAAAAUUCCUUUAUUUUUCACUUGGAGCAUCCCCAGGCUUCAGAAUCCAUGGAAUCUUUGGGAUAAAACGUGUCAGAUUUUGGCAGAUUCAGUUCCAGAUUUUGGCACCUUCAAGCUCAGGUUUGCAAUAGGUCAGGAAGGGAUAAAACCCCUGGGGUUGGAAAAUUCCUUUAUUUUCACUUGGAGCAUCCCCAGUUUUCAUCAUCCAUGGAAUCUUUGGGAUAAAAUGUCCCAGAUUUUGGCAGGUUUGGCAGAUUCAGUCCCAGAUUUUGGAAGAUUCAGUUCCAGACUUUGGCACGUUCAAGCUCAGGUUUGCAAUAGGUCAGGAAGGGAAAAAACCCCUGGGGUUGGACAAUAUUUUAUUUUUUUACUUGGAACAUCCCAAACCUUCAGAAUCCGUGGAAUCUUUGGGCUAAAUUCCCUGGAAUUGGACAAUAUUUCUAUUAUUUUCACUUAGAACAUCCCCAGGUUUCAUCAUCCAUGGAAUCUUUGGGAUAAAAUGUGUCAGAUUUUGGCAGAUUCAGUUCCAGAUUUUGGCAGAUUUAGGCUCAGGUUUGCAAUAGGUCAGGAAGGGAUAAAACCCCUGGGGUUGGAAAAUUCCUUUAUUUCCACAAUUCCUUUUUUUUUUCACUUGGAGCAUCCCAAGGUUUCAGAAUCCAUGGAAUCUUUGGGAUAAAAUGUGCCUGAUUUUGGCAGAUUCAGUUCCAGAUUUUGGCACAUUCCAGCUCAGGUUUGCAAUAGGUCAGGAAGGGAAAAAACCCCUGGGGUUGGACAAUAUUUUAUUUUUUUACUUGGAACAUCCUAAAGCUUCAGAAUCCAUGGAAUCUUUAUGAUAAAUUCCCUGGAAUUGGACAAUAUUUCGAUUAUUUUCACUUAGAACAUCCCCAGGUUUCAUCAUCCAUGGAAUCUUUGGAAUAACAUGUGCCAGAUUUUGUCACAUUCAGUUCCAGAUUUUGGCACAUUUAGACUCAGAUUUGCAAUAGGAAAAUCCCUGGGGUUGGAAAAUUCCUUUUUUUUUUUCACUUACAGCAUCCCAAAGGCCUCAGAAUCUGUGGAAUCUUUGAGAUAAAUUCCCUGGAAUUGGACAAUUCCUUUUUUUUUUUUUUUUUUUUUUCCAUUUAUAGCAUCCCAAGGUUUCAUCAUCCAUGGAAUCUUUGGGAUAAAACGUGUCAGAUUUUGGCAGAUUCAGUUCCAGAUUUUGGCACAUUCAGGCUCUGGUUUGCAAUAGGUCAGGAAGGGAUAAAAUCCCUGGGGUUGGAAAAUUCCUUUAUUUUCACAACAUCCCGAGGCCUCAGAAUCCAUGGAAUCUUUGGGAUAAAUUCCCUGGAAUUGGACAAUUCCUUUUUUAUUUUCACUUUGAGCAUCUCCAGUUUUCAUUAUCCAUGGAAUCUUUGGAAUAAAAUUUGCCAGAUUUUGGCACAUUUGGCAGAUUCAGUUCCAGAUUUUGGCACAUUUAGGCUCUGGUUUGCAAUAGGUCAGGAAGGGAUAAAAUCCCUUGGGGUUGGAAAAUUCUUUGUUGUUACUUGGAGCAUCCCAAGGCAUCAAAAUCCAUGGAAUCUUUGGGAUAAAAUGUCCCAGAUUUUGGCAGAUUUAGUGCCAGAUUUUGGCACGUUCAAGCUCUGGUUUGCAAUAGGUCAGGAACCCAGAAAAUCCCUGGAAUUGGACAAUUCCUUAUUUUUUUUUUUUUUCCACUUACAGCAUCCCAAGGUUUCAGAAUCCAUGGAAUCUUUGGAAUAAAAUGUGCCUGAUUUUGGCAGAUUCAGUUCCAGAUUUUGGCAGAUUUAGGCUCAGGUUUGCAAUAGGUCAGGAAGGGAUAAAAUCCCUGGGGUUGGAAAAUUCCUUUAUUUUCACAACAUCCCCAGGUUUCAUUAUCCAUGGAAUCUUUGGGAUAAAAUGUGUCAGAUUUUGGCAGAUUCAGUUCCAGAUUUUGGCACCUUCAAGCUCAGGUUUGCAAUAGGUCAGGAAGGGAUAAAAUCCCUGGAAUUGGACA